rnacentral:misc_RNA from 1 species
AACGGUCUAUACCUGCGGUACCUGCGGAAGGAUCAUUAUCGAGUGUGACCCCCUCGUAAAAAAGGGGGUACCUCCCGUCCUUUGCUUUAGGCUCUACCCCCCCCAAAACUUUUUUGGUGGGGGCAAAAGCUUGUCAAACCUUCUGCUUCGGUGGGGUUAUACCCACCGGAACAACCUCAAAUUCUCGUUCAAUUGUUCAGUCCGAGAAAAAUUUAUUAAAAAAGCGAAAACUUUCAGCAA